AUACUUACCUGGCAGGGAUGAUCAUGAAGGUGGUUUCCCCAGAGUGAGGCCCACCCAUUGCACUCCUGAUGGGCCAACCCCUGAGAUUUCCCCAAAAGUGGGGAACUCGACUGAAUAAUUGGAGGUAAUUGAGGACUGUUUGUGCUAUCCCCUG
rnacentral:snRNA from 1 species